rnacentral:rRNA from 1 species
UACGUAGGGGGCAAGCGUUGUCCGGAUUUAUUGGGCGUAAAGAGCGUGUAGGCGGCCUGAAAGGUCAGCUGUGAAAACUCGAGGCUCAACCUCGAGACGUCGGUUGAAACCAUCUGGCUAGAGUCCGGAAGAGGAGUGUGGAAUUCCCGGUGUAGCGGUGAAAUGCGCAGAUAUCGGGAAGAACACCCGUGGCGAAGGCGGCACUCUGGGACGGUACUGACACUGAGGAGCGAAAGCGUGGGGAGCGAACAGG